CGGUAGCUCAGUUGGUAGAGCAGCGGACUGAAAAUCCGCGUGUCGCUGGUUCAAUUCCAGUCUGA
rnacentral:tRNA from 1 species